rnacentral:rRNA from 1 species
CCAAGGAGUGCAAGAGGCGUGCGAGUCUUUGGGUGUUGUCCAAACCCGAGGACGCAAUGAAGGUGAAGGGAGGCUUGCCUCCCGAGGCGAGAGCCGGUCGUGUUUCCGGCCCAUCGUCGACCGAUCCCAGUUCACGCUGUGGCGGGAUUCGAGUUAGAGCGUGUCUGUUGCGACCCGAAAGAUGGUGAACUAUGCCUGAAUAGGGCGAAGCCAGAGGAAACUCUGGUGGAAGCUCGCAGCGGUUCUGACGUGCAAAUCGAUCGUCAAAUUUGGGUAUAGGGGCGAAAGACCAAUCGAACCAUCUAG